rnacentral:rRNA from 1 species
UAUUGGACAAUGGGCGCAAGCCUGAUCCAGCCAUGCCGCGUGGAUGAUGAAGGCCCUAGGGUUGUAAAGUCCUUUCGGCGGGGAAGAUAAUGACGGUACCCGCAGAAUAAGCACCGGCUAACUUCGUGCCAGCAGCCGCGGUAAUACGAAGGGUGCUAGCGUUGUUCGGAAUUACUGGGCGUAAAGCGCGCGUAGGCUGUUUGACAAGUCAGAGGUGAAAGCCCUGGGCUCAACCCAGGAAUUGCAUUUAAACUGUCAGACAGAGUGUCGAGGGAUAGCGAAUUCCUAUGAGAGGUAAAUUCGAGUUAGAGAACACCGGUGGCAAGCGGCUUCUGGCGCACUGCGUGGCCAGUAGC